UUCUAUAUAGUUUCUACUAGUGCUUACAUUACACCUGAGCCUAGUGGUGAGUUGGUUUAAUGGUAUUUCUGAAAUCUAUUAUUUGAAAUUCAAGUUUCUGGUCAGAAAUUACAAAAAUCUAGGAAAAGAACAUAUAUAUGCCAUAGACUGGUUUUAGUAUCAACAAAAUAGUGAUUUUUGUACGUAAUAAGGGAUAGUCAUCUGUGAUGGUUUUCUUAGAUGCAGCAACGACCAAUGAAAGCAACUGUAGAGAAUACCUUUCAGGGGAAAAAGAAAAAAAAAAUGGAAGCACGGCUAAAGGGUGAUUCGAUAUAAUGAAGAUGGUGCAAGAACAAGAGAAAAGCCAGAAAGAAUGUGAUAUAAAGUAUAAUGCACUGUAGCAUAUGGGCCUGGCCCCUGGGUGUGGUGUGAUGAAAAAAAUAGGACUUGCACCAGAGUAUUCGGAUAGUAAGCUCUGUUGAGUUGAUUCUAGGAAAACUAAAUAAGACAACAGCCGUUUUCAAAAUUGUCGAAUGCUGUGCAGCUAUGUAACAUACAUUGAUGUCUCAUGUAUGAUGGAUGAGUGGCAGGAGGAGAAGGUAUGUACAAAAUGACUGCAUUUGGAGAAGUUGGAACAUAAAUAAUGUCAACUAGGAACAAGAUGAAGGUCAGCUGAAAGGGUUUGGUAGUGCAACAGAGGCACUCAUAAUUAGAAUUUCAUAGAGCUGUGUAAUGAAAGUGUUGGAGGCCUCUCUGGUGCAUACCAGUCAUUGUUAAGUUGCAGUACCCUUCAGAAAUGCUUCUAAUUGAAUGGUUCUUGAAUCUGGUGCAAUAUGGAUGCCUGAAGAGUUGGUGAUUCUGCAUGCCAUAAUACAAUGGUGAGGAUAUUUGUCUUUGCUUUUUGAAUUUCAAUUGAAUGCUAUUGUCUUCUUAUAUGUCAUUUUAACCUUUUUCGGUAAGUUUGCAAAGGACAGUUUGAGUACACGAGACUCCCGUCACUACAUGGUUUAGAGAAUGUUACAAAUAUUGCCCCACAUGCAGAGAGGUUAUUUUUGUAGCUUGAACUCAUGAUCCGCCAAGACCUGCCCUCUUUUCUUGUAAGUUUGAUCACAAACAUGUUAUAUGCAUCAACAUGAAAUUAUACCAUGUGGUCUGGUGUGUAUGUUGACUGACCUCUUGCAGAAAAAUUUUCAAUCAUAAGAAAAUCUUUUUAUGUAAGAAUGUUUGAUUUUGAUGAGUUUAAAAUGUAGGCAUCUUUUGUAUGCCACCUUAGUGAAAUUAGUAAUAAUGAUAGUUAAGAGCAAGAAUUACUUGUCAAAAAUUUUAGGAGUGCAAUAAUUACUAUAUUAAAUAGUAUUAGGAAGUAA